rnacentral:rRNA from 1 species
UCGCCUGUUUAACAAAAACAUAGCUAAAUUUAAUUUGGUCUAUCUGCCCAAUGACCUUUUUUAAUGGCACCCAUAAGGUAGCAAAAUAAUUAGUCUCUUAAUUGGAAACUAGUAUGAAGACAGCAUUACAAACAGACAUAUAAUCCUAAAAGCUUAAUUUAAGAUCUAAGUGAAAACUCUUAGAUUACCCUUGAAGACGAUAAGACCCUAAAACCUUUACCUUGUUUUGCUGGGAUAGCAUCUAAAGUAUAACAAUAGAAAUUUUUAGUUAACCCUAACCAAAUUAAUGCUUGUAAAUAAAGGUACUUUAGGGAUAACAGCACUACUGCUUUAUUAAGCCCGUAUUAUUAAUGCACUUAGUGACCUCGAUGUUGAAUUAAGCUACUGACCCUGCAGCCAGGGAUUACUUCUAGGUCUGUUCGACUUAAUUUAGCUUACGUGAUCUGAGUUCAGACCGG